AGGAUCUCUGUGAGUUCAGGACC
rnacentral:piRNA from 1 species